rnacentral:rRNA from 1 species
CAGUCGCCGCGGUAAUACGUAGGGUGCAAGCGUUAAUCGGAAUUACUGGGCGUAAAGCGUGCGCAGGCGGUUGUAUAAGUCAGAUGUGAAAUCCCCGGGCUCAACCUGGGAACUGCAUUUGAGACUGUAUGGCUAGAGUGUGUCAGAGGGGGGUAGGAUUCCACGUGUAGCAGUGAAAUGCGUAGAUAUGUGGAGGAAUACCGAUGGCGAAGGCAGCCCCCUGGGAUAACACUGACGCUCAUGCACGAAAGCGUGGGGAGCAAACAGGAUUAGAUACCCGUGUAGUCCCUGUCUCUUAUAC